UACGGGGGGGGGCAAGCGUUGUUCGGAAUUACUGGGCGUAAAGGGUUCGUAGGUGGCCAAUUAAGUCAGACGUGAAAUCCCUCAGCUCAACUGGGGAACUGCGCCUGAGACUGGAUGGCUUGAGUGCAGGAGAGGAACGCGGAAUUCCAGGUGUAGCGGUGAAAUGCGUAGAUAUCUGGAGGAACACCGGUGGUGUAAACGGCUUUCUGGACCAUAACUGACGCUGAGGCACGAAAGCCAGGGGAGCAAACGGG
rnacentral:rRNA from 1 species